rnacentral:rRNA from 1 species
AGGGCGCACGGUGGAUGCCUUGACACUAGGAGUCGAUGAAGGACGGGACUAACGCCGAUAUGCUUCGGGGAGCUGUAAGUAAGCUUUGAUCCGAAGAUUUCCGAAUGGGGAAACCCACCAUACGUAAUGGUAUGGUAUCCUUAUCUGAAUACAUAGGGUAAGGAAGACAGACCCAGGGAACUGAAACAUCUAAGUACCUGGAGGAAGAGAAAGCAAAUGCGAUUUCCUGAGUAGCGGCGAGCGAAACGGAACAUAGCCCAAACCAAGAGGCUUGCCUCUUGGGGUUGUAGGACAUUCUAUACGGAGUUACAAAGGAACGAGGUAGACGAAGCGACCUGGAAAGGUCCGUCGUAGAGGGUAACAACCCCGUAGUCGAAACUUCGUUCUCUCUUGAAUGUAUCCUGAGUACGGCGGAACACGUGAAAUUCCGUCGGAAUCUGGGAGGACCAUCUCCCAAGGCUAAAUACUCCCUAGUGAUCGAUAGUGAACCAGUACCGUGAGAGAAAGGUGAAAAGCACCCCGGAAGGGGAGUGAAAGAGAUCCUGAAACCGUGUGCCUACAAAUAGUCAGAGCCCGUUAACGGGUGAUGGCGUGCCUUUUGUAGAAUGAACCGGCGAGUUACGAUCCCGUGCGAGGUUAAGCUGAAGAGGCGGAGCCGCAGCGAAAGCGAGUCUGAAUAGGGCGUUUAGUACGUGGUCGUAGACCCGAAACCAGGUGAUCUACCCAUGUCCAGGGUGAAGUUCAGGUAACACUGAAUGGAGGCCCGAACCCACGCACGUUGAAAAGUGCGGGGAUGAGGUGUGGGUAGCGGAGAAAUUCCAAUCGAACCUGGAGAUAGCUGGUUCUCCCCGAAAUAGCUUUAGGGCUAGCCUUAAGUGUAAGAGUCUUGGAGGUAGAGCACUGAUUGGACUAGGGGUCCUCAUCGGAUUACCGAAUUCAGUCAAACUCCGAAUGCCAAUGACUUAUCCUUAGGAGUCAGACUGCGAGUGAUAAGAUCCGUAGUCAAAAGGGAAACAGCCCAGACCGCCAGCUAAGGUCCCAAAGUGUGUAUUAAGUGGAAAAGGAUGUGGAGUUGCUUAGACAACUAGGAUGUUGGCUUAGAAGCAGCCACCAUUUAAAGAGUGCGUAAUAGCUCACUAGUCGAGUGACUCUGCGCCGAAAAUGUACCGGGGCUAAAUACACCACCGAAGCUGCGGAUUGAUACCAAUGGUAUCAGUGGUAGGGGAGCGUUCUAAGGACAGUGAAGUCAGACCGGAAGGACUGGUGGAGUGCUUAGAAGUGAGAAUGCCGGUAUGAGUAGCAAAGACGGGUGAGAAUCCCGUCCACCGAAUGCCUAAGGUUUCCUGAGGAAGGCUCGUCCGCUCAGGGUUAGUCAGGACCUAAGCCGAGGCCGACAGGCGUAGGCGAUGGACAACAGGUUGAUAUUCCUGUACCACCUCUUUAUCGUUUGAGCAAUGGAGGGACGCAGAAGGAUAGAAGAAGCGUGCGAUUGGUUGUGCACGUCCAAGCAGUUAGGCUGAUAAGUAGGCAAAUCCGCUUAUCGUGAAGGCUGAGCUGUGAUGGGGAAGCUCCUUAUGGAGCGAAGUCUUUGAUUCCCCGCUGCCAAGAAAAGCUUCUAGCGAGAUAAAAGGUGCCUGUACCGCAAACCGACACAGGUAGGCGAGGAGAGAAUCCUAAGGUGUGCGAGAGAACUCUGGUUAAGGAACUCGGCAAAAUGACCCCGUAACUUCGGGAGAAGGGGUGCUUUCUUAACGGAAAGCCGCAGUGAAUAGGCCCAAGCGACUGUUUAGCAAAAACACAGCUCUCUGCGAAGCCGUAAGGCGAAGUAUAGGGGGUGACACCUGCCCGGUGCUGGAAGGUUAAGGAGAGGGGUUAGCGUAAGCGAAGCUCUGAACUGAAGCCCCAGUAAACGGCGGCCGUAACUAUAACGGUCCUAAGGUAGCGAAAUUCCUUGUCGGGUAAGUUCCGACCCGCACGAAAGGUGUAACGAUUUGGGCACUGUCUCAACCAGAGACUCGGUGAAAUUAUAGUACCUGUGAAGAUGCAGGUUACCCGCGACAGGACGGAAAGACCCCGUGGAGCUUUACUGUAGCCUGAUAUUGAAUUUUGGUACAGUUUGUACAGGAUAGGCGGGAGCCUUUGAAACCGGAGCGCUAGCUUCGGUGGAGGCGCUGGUGGGAUACCGCCCUGACUGUAUUGAAAUUCUAACCUACGGGUCUUAUCGACCCGGGAGACAGUGUCAGGUGGGCAGUUUGACUGGGGCGGUCGCCUCCUAAAGUGUAACGGAGGCGCCCAAAGGUUCCCUCAGAAUGGUUGGAAAUCAUUCGUAGAGUGCAAAGGCAUAAGGGAGCUUGACUGCGAGACCUACAAGUCGAGCAGGGACGAAAGUCGGGCUUAGUGAUCCGGUGGUUCCGCAUGGAAGGGCCAUCGCUCAACGGAUAAAAGCUACCCCGGGGAUAACAGGCUUAUCUCCCCCAAGAGUCCACAUCGACGGGGAGGUUUGGCACCUCGAUGUCGGCUCAUCGCAUCCUGGGGCUGUAGUCGGUCCCAAGGGUUGGGCUGUUCGCCCAUUAAAGCGGUACGCGAGCUGGGUUCAGAACGUCGUGAGACAGUUCGGUCCCUAUCCGUCGUGGGCGUAGGAAAUUUGAGAGGAGCUGUCCUUAGUACGAGAGGACCGGGAUGGACGCACCGCUGGUGUACCAGUUGUUCUGCCAAGGGCAUAGCUGGGUAGCUAUGUGCGGAAGGGAUAAGUGCUGAAAGCAUCUAAGCAUGAAGCCCCCCUCAAGAUGAGAUUUCCCAUAGCGUAAGCUAGU